rnacentral:misc_RNA from 1 species
AAAGUCGUAACAAGGUAACCGUAGGUGAACCUGCGGUUGGAUCAUUAACAAAUACAGAACAGCACGCUGUUCUUGACAUUUUGUGAACUGUUUAUUGUCUCUGGUGGGUUAAAAUAGCACCGCAAGGCUGCUAGGGCUUGCCCACCCACCACCUGCAAACCUAGUAUAACCAUUUGUCUUAUAUAAAGUGUUUAAUCUAAACAACUUUUGGCAACGGAUCUCUAGGCUCUC